rfam:Triticum aestivum genome assembly, contig: Triticum_aestivum_CS42_TGACv1_scaffold_072734_1DL
CAAGUACUCCCUCCGUCCAGAAUUACUUGUCAUCAAAAUGGAUGUGUCUAGAACUAAAAUACAUCUAGAUACAUCCAUUUCAAUGACAAGUAUUUUUGGACGGAGGGAGUACAAG